rnacentral:lncRNA from 1 species
GAAACCCUAGCUAGCUAUCCACCUGAUUCCCCCUUUCAAUUUCAAUUUGAAAUUAAAAAUUUUGAAAAUUCUAAAGUAUAGGAAAAAAGAAAAAAAAAGGACCAAACAACAAACACGUGAUCCACGUUACGCACGUGUAGCUGCCAAAAUGCACAUGUAGCUGCCAAAAUGCACAUGUGUAGUUGCCAAAAGACACAUGUGCAGCCGCC